rnacentral:antisense_RNA from 1 species
GUGCGACAAGAAGUCGUGAAAUUAUAUACAUAGAAUCUCAUGGCGUAAGCCAUAUUCAUCAUUGUCCCAACCAAUCUGGAAGAGGGACUCGUUAUUCAGCUAACGGUAGCCUAAGGAUAGUGCGUCACUGGUAACGGUGAGGUAUGAAGCAUCCCUACAAUGUAGUCAUGUCAUCGACAUCGGGUGUCCCCGCGAGGGUAAACCUGGAUUCUACCAGCAACAGGUGGAUGAGACGCUAGGCUGGGCGGUAAGAUCAACAUAUGUGAAUUGCUGAUAAACAUCGUGACGUAGAAGGAGCCAAAGUUGCUGUCAGGCUCAGACCAAAAGGUGCGUGGCCGGAUACUCUCUUACUGGAUGAGAUAUCGCUGACAAUAAGGCCACCGGUGAAUAGGCAAGAUCUACCCCGCCCGUGUGAUGUUUAUGGAACUUGGUAAGCCCGUAUUCCUGCCCUAGAGGCAAACGAACUGCAAAGUGAGUUGUUGGGGGUGCGGGUAAAGGAAGAUGGAGAAAGCGAAGGCCGCUCUGUAAUGGAGUGGAUAGGGGUUCGAAAUUUGCCUCAACACGAAAGUGGGCAGACUUCCAUCAGGUCUUUAAUCGCGAGAAAACAGGUAAAGCAUCCCUAAGGAGGAAAGCAAGUUGAAUGCAGCUGACAUCAGUGCAUCUGCGUCCUCCCACACGAUACACUGGCAUUCCAUAGACUGGAAAACCAAUCAUCAACAGGUGAGGAAGCUACAGGUCCGUAUCGCGAAGGCUGCAAGGAGUCAACAAUGGCGCAAGGUGAAAUACUUGCAGCGCAUGUUGACUCGAUCCUUCUCAGCAAAAACUAUUGCCAUACGAAGGGUUACUGAGAAUGCAGGGAAAAGUACUCCCGGCGUUGAUGGAGAUAUUUGGAACACUCCCGAGAAGAAGUGGAAUGCUCUGGGUAAAAUGAAGCGGAGCGGGUAUAACCCGAGGCCUCUUCGUCGAAUACUCAUCCCUAAAUCUGACGGCACUCGUCGCCCUCUGGGGAUACCAACUAUGCAGGAUCGUGCAAUGCAGGCACUAUACCUGUUAGCGUUGGAACCUGCAUCCGAGUCAGUAGCGGACUACAAUAGCUACGGUUUUCGCCCUAUGCGCUCAACGGCGGAUGCGAUAGAAGCCUUGUUUAUUAACCUGGCGAAAAAGCAUUCGGCGAAAUGGGUGCUCGAAGGCGAUAUCAAAGGCUGCUUCGAUAACAUCAGCCACGACUGGUUGCUUGCCAACAUUCCGUUGGAUAAACAGGUGCUCAAGAAAUGGCUGAAAGCGGGAUUUAUAGAAAAUAAUCUAUUUAACUCAACGAAUUCAGGCACACCGCAGGGGUCGCCAAUAUCCCCGGUGCUGGCUAAUAUGGCGCUCGAUGGGCUGGAAAGAAGACUCCGGGAAGCAUUUGGGGGAUAUUCUAACCACCACAGGAAGAAGUACAAAAUCAACGUCGUGCGAUAUGCGGAUGACUUCGUGGUCACUGGCAUUUCAUCUGAACUGCUAAAUGAGAAAGUAAAACCGAUUAUUGAGGCCUUUAUGGCGGAACGCGGGCUUUCCUUAUCCCCGAAGAAAACGCUUAUCACCCAUAUAGACAAUGGAUUUGACUUUCUCGGACAGAACAUCAGGAAAUAUGAUGGAAAAUUUCUUAUAAAACCAUCAGCUAAAAACCUGAAAAAUGUCCUAAGAAAGAUAAAGGAAAUCGUUAAAGACAACUUAGCGGCGACAGCAGAGAUGUUAAUUAUAAAACUUAACCCGGUUAUUAAGGGAUGGGCUAAUUAUCAUCAGCAUAUCAUCGCAAAAGUAGCCUACGGUUACGUAGAUUAUCGUAUCUGGCAGUUGCUCUGGUACUGGUGCAAGCGGAGACAUCCCAAACGAAGCAAGUACUGGAUCAAAGAGAAAUACUUCAAGCGUAUUGGUGCGCGUGAAUGGUCCUUCUCCGCCGUAGGGCAUGAAGGAAAAACAUUCUCAUUGGUCAGAGCCGCGGAUACUGCAAUAAAGCGCCAUGUAAAAAUCAGGGGAAACGCAAAUCCGUAUUUACCAGAAGAUGAGGAAUACUUUGAAGGGAGACUUCAAAAGAUCUGGAGCCUCCAGGCAAAGGGCAGACGUAGCCUUAACAUCAUUUGGAGAAAACAAAAAAUGCGAUGUCCAUCGUGCCAUGAGUUGAUCACGCAGGAAACAGGAUGGCAUUUGCAUCAUAUCCAUCCUAGACACAAGGGAGGAUCUAACGAAUUGGCGAACCUGAUAUUACUCCAUCCGAAUUGCCAUCGACAGAUUCACAGUUUUGUCGCCGGUUCUGAAACAAAGAACUUACUAAAGGCUUGAGCGGUAUGCGGGGAAACUCGCACGUACCGUUCUUAGGGGGCGGAUUUAUAGCAAUAUAGGUCUGCUACCCGAC